rnacentral:lncRNA from 1 species
UCAGUGUUCAUUGACAUAUCAUAAAAGGGAUACUCCUAUUUCUAGAGAAGGGCAGGAGAAAGUUUUGAAUGCACUCACUCAAAAUUUCAGACAACACCACUAAUAAGUUAAGAAAUUUUUUUGAUUCCCAGUUGAAAACGGUUGGUCAGGAAAUAAGAGAUCCAUUACGAUCCUCAAUUACUUCAACGUCAUUCCCCCAAAUCCCUUUGCCGCUUCUUCUCCAUGCUGCCCACACAAUCCCCGUUCCUCCUCUUUCCCCGUCGCCAUCAGUAUUAUUACCAGCAAGACCGAACCCUAAGCACAAACCCAAGCAAUUUACUACUCCAUCUCCACUCCUAUCCACUGUUCGGUGAGACAAUUGAAGAAAGCUGAGGCACUAUGUCGAACUAGCAUUCAAGUUGGUGGACUGGAGAUUCGAGGACCUUUUAAUGAUAGUAGAGAGCGUGGUGGUUUUGAGGUUUAUGGGUAGAAAAUUUGAGUGGGUUUGCUGAAUGUGACUGGAGAAAAUUUAUGGAUGAGGGCAGAGAUGGUGGAGAAACUAACUGGUAUA